UACGUAGGGUGCGAGCGUUAAUCGGAAUUACUGGGCGUAAAGCGUGCGCAGGCGGUUCGUUGUGUCGGCGGUGAAAGCCCCGGGCUUAACCUGGGAAUGGCCGUUGAAACUGGCGAACUGGAGUGUGGCAGGAGGGGGGUGGAAUUCCGCGUGUAGCAGUGAAAUGCGUUAGAGAUGCGGAGGAACACCGAUGGCGAAGGCAGCCCCCUGGGCCUGCACUGACGCUCAUGCACGAAAGCGUGGGGAGCAAACAGG
rnacentral:rRNA from 1 species